UACGGAGGGUGCAAGCGUUAUCCGGAUUCACUGGGUUUAAAGGGUGCGUAGGCGGCCAACUAAGUCAGACGUGAAAUCCCUCGGCUUAACCGGGGAACUGCGUCUGAUACUGGAUGGCUUGAGUUUGGGAGAGGGAUGCGGAAUUCCAGGUGUAGCGGUGAAAUGCGUAGAUAUCUGGAGGAACACCGGUGGCGAAGGCGGCAUCCUGGACCAACACUGACGCUGAGGAGCGAAAGCCAGGGGAGCAAACGGG
rnacentral:rRNA from 1 species